GAAGCUGGAAUCGCUAGUAAUCGCGAAUCAGAAUGUCGCGGUGAAUACGUUCCCGGGUCUUGUACACACCGCCCGUCACACCAUGGGAGUCGGGAAUGCCCGAAGCCUGUAGUCUAACCGCAAGGAGGACGCAGUCGAAGGUGGGAUUGAUGACUGGGGUGAAGUCGUAACAAGGUAGC
rnacentral:rRNA from 1 species